ensembl:lincRNA
GUUGACUUUAUCACCUCGGGAUCACUGGGGUUUCGGACGCCUUGCUGCAGGCUUCAUCAUGCGCAUGCGCAUACCCCCUACCUGUUGGGCGCCAAGACCAGGCCGCAGGCCCAGGCCUGUGAGCCGCUUCCAGGAACAUCACCUGGCUGUCUUCCGCCUUGGACCCCAGCCUUCAACUUCCCCUCCCUGUUGUUUAAUCAGUCUUCAUCAAAUGUCAUUUUAGCUAUAUCUACUUAAUAUCCCUGGAAGUCAGAAGUCUCUGUGCAACAGAUAGAACCAACACAUCUCUAUCCGAAGAUAAGUUCCGCUUUCCUCAUUUCAGUUUGAUGAUAAACUCCAUACGUUUGGAUUAAUUGGGAGGAAAGGCAAGAGGCCAUAUAAAAAUGUUUGCAAGUUUGGGUUGUAGACCUAAAAAGGUUUUAAAAGGUCUAAGAAGAAGUGUAGACCACAGCAGUCUGGCCCGGUGGAGAUGGUGGUGGUGAGAUGCAGGGAGAUGGAGAGAAAAAUGGGAGCAGCACCUUUCUUUACAAAGCCAAAAGCUACAUCCCCAUUGACCUAGAUGUCAUAAGAGUUUUUUUUUCCCCAAAGGGCACCAUGAUGGAGAAUCGGCUUUCCCAAGGACACACAUACCUUUGUCACACCAAGCACCACCUUGUCCUCAGACUGUUCUUGUACUGGCUUUGUUUACAAGCCAGAUCUUUUUUUAAAUGAGAAAAAUCAAAUGUUCACUUAAGAAGUGAAAUUUGAAUAAAAUUACAGUUUCAGGCAAAGCCUAUAUUAUUUUUAAAAUCAGCGAAUAAAGCAAGGGAUAUUA